rnacentral:rRNA from 1 species
GAUGAACGCUGGCGGCGUGCUUAACACAUGCAAGUCGAACGGAAAGGCUCCUGCUUGCAGGGGUACUCGAGUGGCGAACGGGUGAGUAACACGUGGGUGAUCUGCCCUGCACUUCGGGAUAAGCCUGGGAAACUGGGUCUAAUACCGGAUAGGACCACAUUUUGGAUGGUGUGGUGGAAAGUUUUUCGGUGUGGGAUGAGCUCGCGGCCUAUCAGCUUGUUGGUGGGGUAAUGGCCUACCAAGGCGUCGACGGGUAGCCGGCCUGAGAGGGUAUACGGCCACAUUGGGACUGAGAUACGGCCCAGACUCCUACGGGAGGCAGCAGUGGGGAAUAUUGCACAAUGGGCGCAAGCCUGAUGCAGCGACGCCGCGUGGGGGAUGACGGCCUUCGGGUUGUAAACUCCUUUCGCUAGGGACGAAGCGCAAGUGACGGUACCUGGAGAAGAAGCACCGGCUAACUACGUG